rnacentral:rRNA from 1 species
UACGUAGGGGGCAAGCGUUAUCCGGAAUUACUGGGUGUAAAGGGAGCGUAGACGGUGAUGCAAGUCUGGAGUGAAAGGCGGGGGCCCAACCCCCGGACUGCUCUGGAAACUGUAUGACUGGAGUGCAGGAGAGGUAAGCGGAAUUCCUAGUGUAGCGGUGAAAUGCGUAGAUAUUAGGAGGAACACCAGUGGCGAAGGCGGCUUACUGGGCUGUAACUGACGUUGAGGCUCAAAAGCGUGGGGAGCAAACAGG